rnacentral:rRNA from 1 species
CCUACGGGAGGCAGCAGUGGGGAAUUUUGGACAAUGGGCGAAAGCCUGAUCCAGCCAUUCCGCGUGAGUGAAGAAGGCCUUCGGGUUGUAAAGCUCUUUAGUCAGGGAGCAAAUCCUACGUGUAAAUAAUGCGUGGGGAUGAGAGUACCUGAAGAAUAAGCACCGGCUAACUACGUGCCAGCAGCCGCGGUAAU